GCUCUUUUAUCAGAGAGGGGGAAGGAGGAUAGUGAUUUAACUCCUAGUUGUCUAGAAGAGGAAGUUUUGCUCUUAGGCAUUUUAUCUUAUCUCAUCUUAUCUUAUCUUAUGAUUUUUUUUUUUUAAGUAGGCUUCAUGCCCAGUGCAGAGCCCAGCGCACAUGCCGAGAUCAGGACCCUGAGAUCAAGACCACUGCUUAAUCCCCCGGGCCACCUAGGUGCGGAUUCCAUGGGUGCUCCCUGCUAAACCUUGGUGACAUCCACUCAUUUUACUCCCUGAUGUGACUUCUCCAGAGAUGGGAGGCAUGUUAGCUGUCCAUCCUGGGUCACUUAAGGUGACUGAUAAUGCUGAGGUUGGCUCGAGAUACUGGCUUGUUUCAGAACUUGUCUGUUUUCUAAAAGGAAGACAGUGCCCUUCAGGUCUCUAUUGCAUUUGGGUAGCUCGUGAAUGGGCUCUUCAGAAAUUAAACAUAACUUCGUGCAAACUCUGGGUUCACUAAACAG